AACGAACGCUGGCGGCAUGCCUAACACAUGCAAGUCGAACGAGACCUUCGGGUCUAGUGGCGCACGGGUGCGUAACGCGGGGGAACCUGCCCUUAGGUUCGGAAUAACUCCCCGAAAGGGGUGCUAAUACCGGAUAAUGUCCUCGGACCAAAGAUUUAUCGCCUUUGGAUGGGCCCGCGUUGGUUUAGCUAGUUGGUAGGGUAAAAGCCUACCAAGGCGACGAUCCAUAGCUGGUCUGAGAGGAUGAUCAGCCACACUGGGACUGAGACACGGCCCAGACUCCUACGGGAGGCAGCAGUGGGGAAUAUUGGACAAUGGGCGAAAGCCUGAUCCAGCAAUGCCGCGUGAGUGAUGAAGGCCUUAGGGUUGUAAAGCUCUUUUACCCGGGAUGAUAAUGACAGUACCGGGAGAAUAAGCUCCGGCUAACUCCGUG
rnacentral:rRNA from 1 species